ACCCAGACUCCUACGGGAGGCAGCAGUAGGGAAUCUUUCACAAUGGGCGAAAGCCUGAUGGAGCAACGCCGCGUGCAGGAUGAAGGCCUUCGGGUUGUAAACUGCUUUUAUAAGCGAGAAAUAUGAUGGUAACUUAUGAAUAAGGAUCGGCUAACUACGUGCCAGCAGCCGCGGUAAUACGUAGGGGGCAAGCGUUGUCCGGAAUGACUGGGCGUAAAGGGAGUGUAGGCGGCUUAUCAAGUUAGAUGUGAAAUCCCGCGGCUUAACCGCGGAACUGCAUCUAAAACUGGUGAGCUGGAGUGCAGGAGAGGUGAGUGGAAUUCCUAGUGUAGCGGUGGAAUGCGUAGAUAUUAGGAGGAACACCAGAGGCGAAGGCGACUCACUGGACUGUAACUGACGCUGAGGCUCGAAAGCGUGGGGAGCAAACAGGAUUAGAUACCCCGGUA
rnacentral:rRNA from 1 species